rnacentral:rRNA from 1 species
UACGUAGGGGGCAAGCGUUGUCCGGAAUUAUUGGGCGUAAAGCGCGCGCAGGCGGUCUUUUAAGUCUGGUGUUUAAUCCUGGGGCUCAACCCCAGUUCGCAUCGGAAACUGGAUGACUUGAGUGUAAGAGAGGAAAGUGGAAUUCCACGUGUAGCGGUGAAAUGCGUAGAUAUCAGGAGGAACACCUGUGGCGAAAGCGGCUCACUGGACCAUAACUGACGCUGAUGCACGAAAGCUAGGGGAGCAAACAGG